AUUGAACGCUGGCGGAAUGCUUUACACAUGCAAGUCGAACGGUAGAGGGGGCAACCCCUCGAGAGUGGCGAACGGGUGAGUAAUAUAUCGGAACGUGCCCAGUCGUGGGGGAUAACGUAGCGAAAGUUACGCUAAUACCGCAUACGAUCUAAGGAUGAAAGCGGGGGAUCGCAAGACCUCGCGCGAUUGGAGCGGCCGAUACCAGAUUAGGUAGUUGGUGGGGGAAAGGCCCACCAAGCAGACGAUCUGUAGCUGGUCUGAGAGGACGACAAGCCACACUGGAACUGAGACACGGGCCAGACUCCUACGGGAGGCAGCAGUGGGGAAUUUUGGACAAUGGGCGAAAGCCUGAUCCAGCCAUUCCGCGUGCAGGAUGAAGGCCCUCGGGUUGUAAACUGCUUUUGUACAGAACGAAAAGGUUUCUACUAAUACUAGGAGCUCAUGACGGUACUGUAAGAAUAAGCACCGGCUAACUACGUGCCAGCCGCCGCAGUAA
rnacentral:rRNA from 1 species